rnacentral:rRNA from 1 species
AUGUGGCCAAUUUCUGAGAAGCCUAGGCCUGAAGCUCCAGACUAUGUCAAUGUAAGAAUGCCAGGCAGGCCAAAGAAGAAUGACAGGAGGAGGGAAGAGACUGAGAAACCUAAGCCUACCAACAAAAUGAGCAAGCAUGGCACUGUAAUUACUUGCUCACUCUACAAUACUCCUGGCCACAACAAGGGAGGUUGCAAGAAAAACCCAGAGAGAGGCAAGAAGAGGAAUGCACAUCUUGUAAGGACUACCAAAAAAGCAAGGCAUCAUAGGUAA